GGUCAGUGCAGCUUAAUAGCUGCGAUUCAAAGAACAGACGAGCUCAAAUGUAUAGUUAUUUUGGCUCAAAGACAUAGGGCAGCACCCCCAUAUAUCUGUCUCAGGAUCCAAAGUCCUCCACUUCUGAAGCCCGAAGCUUUUUCUUACCAGCCCCAGGCUGCGAGAGGAGUGACGGGCUCGGUGCGCCCCUCACCCAAAGGCGUCCAAAGGCGUGAGCGCAGAUCGCCGGCGCUGCCCGCUGCCCGGGCCUGCCGCGCUUGGCCUCCUGCCCAUCGGGAGCAUUUGAAGGGCUGGCCGGAACCUCGGGACAAACUGCGGAGGGAGAGAGGCAUCAGCCGGGCAGCGAGGGGACCGUGCGGGGGGGAAUGGAGGGCCGAGCCUUUUGUGCCUCACGACAGGAUGCAGGGCGGAGGGAAGGGCUCCGCACUGGGUUUUAGUGAGGGAGAGCUGCUCUAUCCCCCUGUGUUGACUCCCUGGAGCACCGCCAAGCUCCGAGAGGGCAAUAUGUGAAGGGAAAGCGGCGUAGGUUCCACCCCCAACCCCAGGCCCACAGCCGGCCCAUGCGGAGCUGUUCCCCCUGAGAGCGGCCGCAGCCCGCUUACCGCGCCCACGGCCGGCGUACAGAGAGGCCGAGCGGCCCCUCACCGGCCUCGCUUACCCCCUCCUCC
rnacentral:lncRNA from 12 species